GAGACUCUGGCUCAGUGGUAGAGCAUCUGUUUAGCAUGCAGAAGGUCCCAUGUUCAAUCACCAGAGUCUCC
rnacentral:tRNA from 1 species